rnacentral:SRP_RNA from 13 species
UCGGGCGACGACGCCCCCGGCACGCCCUUCCAUCAGAUGGACCCGUGGUUACUGCGGAGAGCCAUCGUCCUGCUAGAGGAGCAGGGCAAGGCCGCGCUGUUCGAAGGGGCC